GACAGAGGGUGCAAACGUUGUUCGGAUUUACUGGGCGUAAAGCGCGUGUAGGCGGCUUUGCAAGUCGGAUGUGAAAUCCCACGGCUCAACCGUGGAAGUGCAUCCGAAACUGCAUCGCUGGAGUCUCGGAGAGGAAGGUGGAAUGCUUGGUGUAGAGGUGAAAUGCGUAGAUACUGGGAGGAACACCAGUGGCGAAGGCGGCUACCUGGACCGGUACUGACGCUGAGGCGCGAAAGCGUGGGUAGCAAACAGG
rnacentral:rRNA from 1 species